rnacentral:rRNA from 1 species
GAUGAACGCUGGCGGCGUGCCUAAUACAUGCAAGUCGAGCGAACGGACGAGAAGCUUGCUUCUCUGAUGUUAGCGGCGGACGGGUGAGUAACACGUGGAUAACCUACCUAUAAGACUGGGAUAACUUCGGGAAACCGUAGCUAAUACCGGAUAAUAUUUUGAACCGCAUGGUUCAAAAGUGAAAGACGGUCUUGCUGUCACUUAUAGAUGGAUCCGCGCUGCAUUAGCUAGUUGGUAAGGUAACGGCUUACCAAGGCAACGAUGCAUAGCCGACCUGAGAGGGGGAUCGGCCACACGGGAACUGAGACACGGUCCAGACUCCUACGGGAGGCAGCAGUAGGGAAUCUGCCGCAAUGGGCGAAAGCCUGACGGAGCAACGCCGCGUGAGUGAUGAAGGUCUUCGGAUCGUAAAACUCUGUUAUUAGGGAAGAACAUAUGUGUAAGUAACUGUGCACAGCUUGACGGUACCUAAUCAGAAAGCCACGGCUAACUACGUG